AGACACAGGAAAUGGGAGGAAUCUGGAUGCUAAAGCUCACUGACCCAUGUGGGGAUCAACUUCCCAAAACUGUCCUGCAACUAUUGCUUACCUGAAUAGACACCCCUGCUCCAUUGCUGCUUUUGGAUCUGACCUCCUUAUUCAACCCUUCCCACCUCCUGACAACCAAAGCAGAACAGAGAUCCACAUAGGCCCUCACAUGAGCAGUCAGAACCCUACCACAGCAUGGCUGAACUGUCUGGAGGGUCUCUGCUCUACUUUUGUCUUUGAAUGCUGACCAAGACAGAAAUCUCUGGAAUACUGUUCACCUCUCAUUCCCAUUAGGACAAUAAAUGGCUCCCCCAGAA